rnacentral:rRNA from 1 species
UGGGGAAUAUUGCACAAUGGGGGAAACUCUGAUGCAGCGACGCCGCGUGGAGGAAGAAGGUCUUCGGAUUGUAAACUCCUGUUGUUGAGGAAGAUAAUGACGGUACUCAACAAGGAAGUGACGGCUAACUACGUGCCAGCAGCCGCGGUAAAACGUAGGUCACAAGCGUUGUCCGGAAUUACUGGGUGUAAAGGGAGCGCAGGCGGGAAGACAAGUUGGAAGUGAAAUCUAUGGGCUCAACCCAUAAACUGCUUUCAAAACUGUUUUUCUUGAGUAGUGCAGAGGUAGGCGGAAUUCCCGGUGUAGCGGUGGAAUGCGUAGAUAUCGGGAGGAACACCAGUGGCGAAGGCGGCCUACUGGGCACCAACUGACGCUGAGGCUCGAAAGUGUGGGUAGCAAACAGGAUUAGAUACCCUGGUAGUCCACACCGUAAACGAUGAUUACUAGGUGUUGGAGGAUUGACCCCUUCAGUGCCGCAGUUAACACAAUAAGUAAUCCACCUGGGGAGUACGACCGCAAGGUUGAAACUCAAAGGAAUUGACGGGGGCCCGCACAAGCAGUGGAGUAUGUGGUUUAAUUCGACGCAACGCGAAGAACCUUACCAAGUCUUGACAUCCCUUGACGAUGCUGGAAACAGUAUUUCUCUUCGGAGCAAGGAGACAGGUGGUGCAUGGUUGUCGUCAGCUCGUGUCGUGAGAUGUUGGGUUAAGUCCCGCAACGAGCGCAACCCUUAUGGUCAGUUACUACGCAAGAGGACUCUGGCCAGACUGCCGUUGACAAAACGGAGGAAGGUGGGGAUGACGUCAAAUCAUCAUGCCCUUUAUGACUUGGGCUACACACGUACUACAAUGGCGUUAAACAAAGAGAAGCAAGACCGCGAGGUGGAGCAAAACUCAGAAACAACGUCCCAGUUCGGACUGCAGGCUGCAACUCGCCUGCACGAAGUCGGAAUUGCUAGUAAUCGUGGAUCAGCAUGCCACGGUGAAUACGUUCCC